rnacentral:rRNA from 1 species
UACGAACCGUGCGAACGUUAUUCGGAAUCACUGGGCUUAAAGCGCGUGUAGGCGGAUGGGCACGUCGGUAGUUGAAAGCCCCCGGCUCAACCGGGGAAGUGGUGCCGAAACGACCCGUCUGGAGGGACGUAGGGGGACCUGGAACUUCCGGUGGAGCGGUGAAAUGCGUUGAGAUCGGAAGGAACGCCCGUGGCGAAAGCGAGGUCCUGGACGUCUACUGACGCUGAGACGCGAAAGCUAGGGGAGCAAACGGG